AGGGAUGUAGCGCAGCUUGGCCGUUUUGGGUACAGUACAAAAUGUCACGGGUUCCAAUCCCGUCAUCCCUA
rnacentral:tRNA from 7 species